AGUGCACUUUAAAUACAGUUCUAUUUAUCUUCCAACAGGUAUAAAAACCAUUAUAAACUAUAUAAUGAAUUGGUUGUACCAGUUUAUUCAAUAAAUAUUUAAAGUUAUUAAGAUAGGAAUUAUAUACUUUGAAGGAAACAUAAUAAUGGAUUUUAUCCUUGAGGCUAAAAAGCACUUGUGGGGCUUUUGGUCUCCUCCUCUUGAACAGAUUUGUGACUGUUUUCCACCACUACAGUUCAGCAGAAAUUAUGCAAAAUAAUUGUCCAAAGUAGGGACAGAAAAGACCAGGAAACUGGAAAGACUGUGGAUGUCAGCUGGAGUAAACAUUCACUCCCAGAGCCCCAAGCUGCCAGGUGGAAAGCCCAGCUAUCCUGAGGCUCAGAAAGUAUGAGGAGGAGGCCAGGCCAUGUGGAGAGCCCAGGUGUAAGGUGUUGAAGUUGCCAGUCUCAGCUGCAGCCAGGCUUCAAGUCAUUCUAGCCCAGCCAAGAUCUAUCAAUGAAGAAGCCUCCAGAUAAUUCCUGCCCGGUACAAUCAAGUCAGCUGGAACUGCUACACUGCCCAGUAGAGAUAAACCACACCUGCCUUGCAAUGUCCAAGUUUCUGACUCAUAGAAUCUGUGAGCAUGAUGAAAUGGUGGUGUUUUAUGCCACUAGGUUUUGAGAUGAUUUGUUACACAGGAAAGAUAAUCAGAAAAGUUUUCAAGGCUGACUACAAAUUAAUGUAAUAUAAUGUCAAUGAAACUUUUUGUGUUAACAUGGAAUUGUGACUGAAGCCACAAAGCUGACAAAGUGAAGUGUUACAAGUGUAUCAACUCUCAAUAGAGCUGCCCAAUAGAGGGCCAGGCCAAGCAGCAGCACAUGGGCCAUUGUGCAAUCACACCAGCCACUAAUGUGUUUGACAGGAUACUUAUUUUGCAAAUCUGCAUUUAUCAUUAAGUAUAAAGAGGUGCUUGCCUCACUUUCAAUGGUCAACAACCUAAGGUGACUUAAAAAAAAAUACUGAUGCCAAGUCCCUCCCCAGAUGGAUUGAAUCAGAGCUACUUAGGGUGGAGCCAAAAGGCUUGUUUGUUUUUUAAAGCUUCCCAGGUAAUUCUAAUGUGUGUGUAGUCAGGUAUGAGAACGAUUGCAAGCAAAAGCAGCUGAGGGAAGCUUUCCAAGGAGUAGGCUCAAUAGUAUGAACUGCAAAUACCUGAGAAGGGAAAAGUUCAGCCUUGUGCUGGAAAGUGGUUUAGCAUGCUGGAGCUGGUUUUCUGUUUGGUAGCCCUACAACUUUGGCCCAAUUACUUGGCCUCUGGGACUCAGAUUCCUCCCCUUUAAAAUGGUGCCAAUAAUAGCACCUACCCUCUGUGAGGAGGAUGCCAUGAGGACAAAGAGAUCAUCCCCAUCAGCCGAGAACCCUGUUCCUCAUAAGGAAAUGAAUAACAUGAAGUGAAGUCUUCAUCUCCAUUCCCAACAGUUCCCAUUCUACUUCCAGAAAGUUGUUGAAGAAAACUAGAAGAAAAAAAGCACCAAGAGUUCUUGACUUAAUCAAAGACAGCAAUUUGAAUAAAUGGUCCUAAAGUCCACAGUAAGUACUUGGUCAAAUGAACCACAAUGUUACUUUGAAUUCUAAGAUUUUACCUUCAUCCUGAAAAAUAAAAAUAAAAAAAAAAUAAAUGCCUGGCUGAACAUUAUUGAUUUGAUAGAGAAGGUAUCAGUUAUUUUCUUACAUAAAAAGGACUCAUAAAAUCUAAGGGUUGUGAUAUUUAGGUUUUCUUGCCUGAAGGAAGGUCAUUUCACAGUAACUUCCUGAAAAAAAUGACUAUAUAUUAUGAUUAGUAACUUAUCCAUAAAAAGGAUAAUCAAUCAUAUGGUUUUGCUGUGUGUCCC